GGAGCGCUGGGAGGAGCUGCAGCUCCAGUGUCCCGGAAGGCCACCGCGUCCCAGUCGGGAGCCCCGCGCUGCGUCUAGGAGGGCGCAACACGCAGACCCCGCAGGGGCCGGAGUUCGGAGCACCCUCGUGUGUGCCCCCUCUCCCCGCGCCCUGCCCCGCAGCGCGCCGCCAAGGCCUCGGCCCUGCCUGCCGUGCUCCGGGCCUGGUUGUUCCCGGGGGUCCCGCGGGCAGGGCGCGGGCCGGCAGGACGCGCGCGCCGACGUUCUUUUGUCUGAUAACUAAUUUGAGUUAAUGCGAUCUUUAUGUAAAGCUAACAGCGGAUAAUUGUCUAUUUUCUCGCCAACAGUCUCCAUCACAAUCACUUAUCUGGAAACCUGCGGUUGGAUUAAUCGUUAUAUUCCCGAGAUGAGCGUCGCUGAAAUCCUCAGCGAACGCGGGUGGGGACCUGGAGACGCCUCCCGGGCGCUGGUGGGGCGGGUGCCGGCCAGCUCCGCUUCAGCCUGGGACGCGGUGUGCCCAGGUGUUGGUGCCCCCGGGAGAGGGCUUGACUCUCUUUUUGCUGAAGUAGGGGUGCGGGGGUACAGGAGGCGGAGGGAGGAGGAGGGGCGAGGGAAGAGAGGCCUGUGGGGCCGCGGCGCAGCCUGGGUGGAGCGCGGCCUCGGGAGGCCCUGGGCGCAUCGCGGCAGGGCCCCGGGCUCCAGGAGCGGGAGGACCCAUCAGUGCCGGAGCGCAGUGUUUCGCUUGGGGGAACGUUGCCCUCAGACCUUCGCCUCCCCGCUGCCCCGUGGUCUCGGUUCCACUGGUUUCGCCCAUCGUCCCAUCCACCUUUCCCACUUGAGGUCCCACCCCGCCCCAGGAGCCCCUCCUUAAGGAUCCAGGUCUCUGAACAUCAUUGGCAACAGCUGCACUCUCCACAACUGAAAUCUCCGAGAGAAGAGUCCCGGUUCUAGGGGUAAAGAUGGUGGCGGCUGGUGCGUCAACUCUCUAGGGAAGAGGAACUUGCAUUGCAAAGACUUGUCUUUCUAAGCUGAAGUCAAAACAGGGGCGUCAAGCGCGCUGCGUUUGGCGGCGGUGGAGGGGCUGUGCGCCCGCGCCGUCCCAGCCGGAGCUGCUGUGGCUGGUGAUUGGAGGCUUCACGUCCCGGCCUCCGGCGCUUCUGCAGCUGGGAUUUGCCGGCCAAGGGCCGCAGUUGCAACUUUUCAAAAGGGUGUUUCUGGAAAAUAACAAAAAUCUGGUGACAGUUUUUGGCUACAGAGAAUGAAACUGCUUCCCUUUGGCAAUGGAACUUGAAACUUCCAAGAGUGAAAAAAUGCAACGAAAUAAAGUGCCAUAAGAGCACUGGAUUUUCCAGAUAACCCCAAAUUACUCCCAAAAUGAGGCUUUGUAGAUUCUUGUUAAAAGUCUCGAAUUUCCUCCUGCAACAUCUGAUGAGGUCUUUAAGAGCAAACAAGUAAACUUCACCGCGAGAAUCAACAAACGCAAGCUCUGGCCAAGGCUCCCUACGCCGUUUUCAUCUCCUCAGGGUUGGGGAUGUCCCGCCCCAUGGCUCACCUGGCUCUUGUCACCUCGGUCAUCUUGAAGUGACCGUGAACAAUGCUGCUCCCCGCCGCAGAGCCGCUGGUCACUCAGGCAGAACGGGGUAUGCAAAUGGUUUGAAGAGGCCGAGGCCCUAACACUGCGCCCAUUGUCCCGGGCCUCAAAGCACCGAGCAGCUGCGCAGACUUUCUGUGCUGGGACCCUCGGCCGCCACGCUCAUGUCAUCAUUGCCAAACAUCAGCUUUGGAGAACUAUGCCACCUGAAUUCAUUAGCAGCCUUCCUUUCGCCGCGACAAGUUUCAAAGUCCAGACCCCCUCCAACGUUGGUAGGGGUGGGAGAAGGAGCAGGGGCCCGGGAAGGGGUUCUUUCAAAGUGGGGCCGCAGGAAAGGGGGGGGUCCCUGGUCUCCUCCUUCUGGUGGGUCCUGCAGCUUUAAAAGCCUUCCUUGGGGUUCUGAGCGCGAAUGUCUGCCUCGAACGACCCUGAGAUUUGGACAUAUUCCCGUUUUCUCUCAAGUGUUGCUUUUAUGUUGCCAGUUUAACGUCACUGAAAGAGGCCCACAGAGCAAGUCGAGUGACUUUCACAGAGACAUCAUCUUCUGUUUUAAAGGCAGAGGCAGUGAUCCUUUCUGAAUCGUCCUUUAGGGUGAACUCACAAUAUGCAUGUCAGAGAAGCUGCGCGCCCUCCAGCAAACCAGUUAAAACGCCAGGCCGCGCUCCUCGCUCCUCGGACUGCAGGACUGCCAGCAGCUCACGGGCUUCCAGUGCCCGCAGCAAGGCGAGGGGAGGCGCGUCUCCGUGACCCGACGACCUGCGUGCACGCCCGCUCUCCACGCCGGUCCCCUGCCCGCACCUGCCCAAGUGGCCUGGUCUCUCCAGAACCCGGAGGGACUCCAAGCUGCUUUUCCCUCUCUGCAGCUUCCGAGGCUGGGAAAACUUCCUAGGAGAAAGCAAGAGAAAGCCGCCAGCCAGGGCCGAGGACUAAACGUUGGGGUCGAGGGGCGCAGAGGAGCGGGUUCACCCCUGCGCACCCCAAGGCCUCUCCAGCACCCGCGAGGUCGUCCGUGAGCGCCCAGGCCCCCGAAAUGCCUGCCCUGCUCCUGACAAACGGAGGGGGUAGGAUGUGGAGGGGUAGCGCAACCAGUUACGCUUUUGUAAACACAAGAAUAGAAAAAUAAAUGGAGGAAAUCUA